GUUUGUGGCUGGCGGAGGCAAAAUACCUGACUUGUAGCAGCAAUGAUAGUGAUCAGUCACUCUUCAAGUUAAGUCAUUUUGAGUAGUGUUUCUGCCUCUUGGAUUCUAAAGGAUCCACAUGAAUGUAAUGAAGUUAUGUGCCAGGUGCUAUGAGGCAAUGAGAAGGAAGAAGAGUAUGUACCACUGACAUUAGGUGGAUGAAUAAAUGUCACUAUCUUCGUCCCC
rnacentral:lncRNA from 1 species